rnacentral:rRNA from 1 species
AUUGAACGCUGGCGGCAGGCCUAACUCAUGCAAGUCGAGCGGAGCGUCGGACGGGGGAGUAAUGCCUAGGAAUCUGCCUGGUAGUGGGGGAUAACGUCCGCGAACGGGCGCUAAUACCGCAUACUAUCAGAUGAGCCAAGGUCGGUUUAGCUAGUUGGUGGGGUAGAGGCCUACCAAGGCGACGAUCCGUAACUGGUCUGAGAGGAUGAUCAGUCACACUGGAGCUGAGACACGGUCGAUACUCCUAGGUGAGGCAGCAGUCGGGAAGAUUGGACAAUGGGCGACAACCUGAUUCAGCCAUGCCGCGUGUGUGACGAAAGUCAUCGGAUUGUAAAGCACUUUGAGUUGGGAUACGUUACCAACAUAAUAAGCACCGGCUAACUUCGAGCCAACCGCCGCGGUCAUUC